rnacentral:lncRNA from 10 species
AGAACCUUUUCAUCUUGCGAGGCUGUAACUCUAUACUCACUGAACAACAAUUCCUCUUUUACUCUCACCCCCAGGCUCUGGAGUGACCAACCUCGCAUAACCAAAGAUGUGAUUUGUUUUCAUGCUGAGGAUUUUACUGAUGUUGUACAAAGACUUCAGUUAGAUCUUCAUGAACCUCCAGUUUCCCAGUGCGUACAGUGGGUAGAUGAAGCUAAACUAAACCAAAUGAGGCGGGAAGGCAUUCGUUAUGCUAGAAUUCAGCUUUGCGACAAUGAUAUCUACUUCAUCCCUAGAAAUGUCAUUCAUCAGUUCAAAACAGUUUCGGCGGUGUGCAGCUUAGCCUGGCAUAUAAGGCUUAAACAGUACCACCCUGUUGUGGAAGCCACUCAAAACACAGAAAGCAAUUCUAACAUGGACUGUGGUUUAACUGGAAAGCGAGAAUUAGAAGUUGACUCCCAAUGUGUGAGGAUAAAAACUGAAUCUGAAGAAGCAUGCACA